rnacentral:tRNA from 2 species
GUAGUUGUGGCUGAGUGAUUGAGGUGCUGGACUAAAAAUCCAUUGGGUUCUCUUUCUGCAGGUUCAAGUCCUGCUGACUAUG